UACGUAGGGACCAAGCGUUGUUCGGAUUUACUGGGCGUAAAGGGCGCGUAGGCGGCUUGACAAGUCAUUUGUGAAAUCUCCGGGCUUAACUCGGAACGGCCAAGUGAAACUGUCAUGCUAGAGUGCAGAAGGGGCAAUCGGAAUUCUUGGUGUAGCGGUGAAAUGCGUAGAUAUCAAGAGGAACACCUGAGGUGAAGACGGGUUGCUGGGCUGACACUGACGCUGAGGCGCGAAAGCCAGGGGAGCAAACGGG
rnacentral:rRNA from 1 species